rnacentral:rRNA from 1 species
GACGAACGCUGGCGGCGUGCCUAAUACAUGCAAGUUGAGCGAUGAAGAUUGGUGCUUGCACCAAUUUGAAGAGCAGCGAACGGGUGAGUAACGCGUGGGGAAUCUGCCUUUGAGCGGGGGACAACAUUUGGAAACGAAUGCUAAUACCGCAUAAUAACUUUAAACAUAAGUUUUAAGUUUGAAAGAUGCAAUUGCAUCACUCAAAGAUGAUCCCGCGUUGUAUUAGCUAGUUGGUGAGGUAAAGGCUCACCAAGGCGAUGAUACAUAGCCGACCUGAGAGGGUGAUCGGCCACAUUGGGACUGAGACACGGCCCAAACUCCUACGUGAGGCAGCAGUAGGGAAUCUUCGGCAAUGGACGAAAGUCUGACCGAGCAACGCCGCGUGAGUGAAGAAGGUUUUCGGAUCGUAAAACUCUGUUGGUAGAGAAGAACGUUGGUGAGAGUGGAAAGCUCAUCAAGUGACGGUAACUACCCAGAAAGGGACGGCUAACUACGUG